UUACGGCCAUAUCACGUUGGAACACAGGUUCUUGUAAGAUCAUUAAAGUUAAGCAACGUUGAGCCUGGUCAGUACCUAUAUGGGGGACCGCUUGGGAAGACCAGAUUCUG